rnacentral:rRNA from 1 species
CACGUAGGGCGCAAGCGUUGUCCGGAAUUACUGGGCGUAAAGCGUGCGCAGGCGGUUCGUUGUGUCGGCGGUGAAAGCCCCGGGCUUAACCCUGGGAAUGGCCGUCGAAACUGGCGAACUGGAGUGUGGCAGAGGGGGGUGGAAUUCCGGCGUGGUAGCAGUGAAAUGCGUAGAGAAUGCGGAGGAACACCAGUGGCGAAGGCGGCGACCUGGGACCGAAUACUGACGCUGAGAUGCGAAAGUGUGGGGAGCAAACGGG